GACAGAGGGUGCAAACGUUGUUCGGAAUUACUGGGCGUAAAGCGCACGUAGGCGGCUUUCUAAGUCGGGGGUGAAAUCCUGGAGCUCAACUCCAGAACUGCCUUCGAUACUGGAGAGCUCGAGUCCGGGGGAGGUGAGUGGAACUGCGAGUGUAGAGGUGAAAUUCGUAGAUAUUCGCAAGAACACCAGUGGCGAAGGCGGCUCACUGGCCCGGUACUGACGCUGAGGUGCGAAAGCGUGGGGAGCAAACAGG
rnacentral:rRNA from 1 species